AUGCUCAUUUUGGCAGCACAUAUACUAAAACUGGAACGAUACAGAGAAGAUUAGCAUGACCCCGCACAAGGAUGACAUGCAAAUUUGUGAAGCAUUCCAUAUAAAG
rnacentral:snRNA from 1 species